UACAUAGGGUGCAAGCGUUAAUCGGAAUUACUGGGCGUAAAGCGUGCGCAGGCGGUGAUGUAAGACAGAUGUGAAAUCCCCGGGCUCAACCUGGGAACUGCAUUUGUGACUGCAUCGCUGGAGUGCGGCAGAGGGGGAUGGAAUUCCGCGUGUAGCAGUGAAAUGCGUAGAGAUGCGGAGGAACACCGAUGGCGAAGGCAGCCCCCUGGGUCGACACUGACGCUCAGGCACGAAAGCGUGGGGAGCAAACAGG
rnacentral:rRNA from 1 species